AGAGAGUUGGCUGAGUGGUCUAAAGCGAUUAGCUAGAAUCUAAUUAAGAUUUUUCUUCAUGCGUUCGAAUCGCAUACUUUCUG